CAGCCGCCGCGGUAAUACCGGCGGCCCGAGUGGCGGUCACUAUUAUUGGGCUUAAAGCGUCCGUAGCCGGGUUGGGAAGUCCUCCGGGAAAUCUGGCCGCUUAAAGGUCAGAAUGCCGGAGGAUACUCCCAGCCUAGGGAGCGGGCGAGGCCGAGGGGAUUCCCGGAGUAGGGGGGAAAUCCUAUAAUCCCGGGAGGACCACCUGUGGCGAAGGCGCUCGGCGGGAACGCGUCCGACGGUGGGGGACGAAGGCCAGGGGAGCAAACCGGAUUAGAUACCCGGGUAGUCCUGGCUGUAAACGAUGCGGACUUUGUGUCGGACAAGCUAUGAGCUUGUCCGGUGCCGGAGGGAAACCGUUAAGUCCGCCGCCUGGGGAGUACGGCCGCAAGGCUGAAACUUAAAGGAAUUGGCGGG
rnacentral:rRNA from 1 species